AGGUUUAGAAAUGGGCGCAGAGUCAGCCAAUCAAGGGCGGGAAAACUCGGAGGGUUGAAAAUGGGGCGCAUGCGCAAUAACAGAAGCAGCGGGCGGGUCCAGGCACAGCCGCCAGCCAGGCUGCACCCGGCUGUGGCAGCCACGGGCAGGGGCGGAGCCCGCCGUAUAUGGGAGCUGCUUGGGGACAAACUGUGUAGGGUGCGCUCUCGGGCGGGCAGGACAUCAACACCCUACCAGCUGUAGAGUCGCUUAGAGCAACCAAGACAACCAGGAACAGAAGCCUACACGUGUACAUAAUCCUCUGAUUCCAACACCACCUUGCGAUUUGACAAAGUGCUGCGGCCCACGGAACACGAACAGCAAGCCUGCGGAUUUUAAACUAGAAGCAGCGAGGUUUCUCGCCAGAGAAAUGACUGAACAGCCACCCCUUGAUUAAUUUACUCUCUGCACCAAGAAAAAUGAAUAAACAGGAAGGUUUUUAAGGGC
ensembl:antisense Kif16bos kinesin family member 16B, opposite strand